CUUCAACGACCCCAGCCACAACGGCCGGUCGCCCGGACGGUCCUGGCCAUACGUGGCCAGCAACGCCUGCGCCUC
rnacentral:antisense_RNA from 1 species